rnacentral:rRNA from 1 species
UACAGAGGGUGCAAGCGUUGUUCGGAAUUAUUGGGCGUAAAGGGCGCGUAGGCGGUGCCACAAGUCACCUGUGAAAUCUCCGGGCUUAACUCGGAGCCUGCAGGCGAAACUGUGGUGCUGGAGUGUGGGAGAGGUGCGUGGAAUUCCCGGUGUAGCGGUGGAAUGCGUAGAGAUCCGGAAGAACACCGGUGGCGAAGGCGGCCCGCUGGGCAGAGACUGACGCUGAGGCGCGACAGCGUGGGGAGCAAACAGG